rnacentral:rRNA from 1 species
GUGGGGAAUAUUGGACAAUGGGCGAAAGCCUGAUCCAGCCAUGCCGCGUGAACGAUGAAGGCCUUCGGGUUGUAAAGUUCUUUAGCCGAUGAUUAUAAUGACUGUAGUCGGAAAAUAAGCCCCGGCUAACUUCGUGCCAGCAGCCGCGGUAAUACGAAGGGGGCGAGCGUUAUUCGGAAUCACUGGGCGUAAAGCGUGCGUAGGCGGUUUUGUAAGUUAGGAGUGAAAGCCCAGGGCUCAACCUUGGAAUUGCUCUUAAAACUGCAAGGCUCGAAUCUCGGAGAGGAUAGCGGAAUUUCCAGUGUAGCAGUGAAAUGCGUAGAUAUUGGAAGGAACACCAGUGGCGUAAGCGGCUAUCUGGACGAGUAUUGACGCUGAGGCACGAAAGCGUGGGGAUCAAACAGGAUUAGAAACCCCAGUAGUCC